GAAGCCAAAUAAAGCGCAUGCUGUGUACAGAGGGUGUCGAGAAUGCCUCCUACGUGACGGAAAGCAGAUCCGUGGUUCCCUGCAGACUGGCAGGAGCAGAUUCCAAAGGCACAGGAAGAAGCUUGCAGGUUUCCUUAAUGACAACAAAAAAGGGAGUAAUCCUACCCACUGUAAGAGUCAUGACUCUUGAUUGCAGCUGACAGAAACUCAUGACAGCCUGCUUUAGAUGAAGGGGGAGAGAAGGACUGGAAGAAUCUUGGAGUUGGGAAUGUCACACGUAAUUGAAGGAAGAACAAGAAAACUAUAGCAGCUGCUCCCAACCCCAGAACCUUUGCUGUCUUGGGACGGAUCACCACUGCAAGAGGGGAAGUUGCUACUGUGAUGAAUUCUGCCAUGUGGCACCAGACUGCCACCCAGACCACAGUGUCCUCUGCAACCCUGGUAACUCACAUACAGGCCCGAUUCCACCGACAGCAAAGCUGGAUGCUAUGGCUGGCAGAGGCAAACCCUUUGCCUGCACUUCAGGCCAAAGCCGGGAUGUGGCCUAGAUGGUUCCUAAGGUCCCUGACAAUCCUGAGAUCUUGCAUCUUGUCUAUUUCAGGUCAAAGCUUCUCAGAUGACCAAGAUGGUGCUGCAGAUGGUGCUGAGGAUGGAGAACCCACCAAGCCC
rnacentral:misc_RNA from 1 species